ACCUACGGGGGGCAGCAGUAGGGAAUUUUCGUCAAUGGGCGCAAGCCUGAACGAGCAAUGCCGCGUGAACGAGGAAGGUCUUCGGAUCGUAAAGUUCUGUUGAAGGGGAAAAAGAGCGGAGAGAGGAAAUGGUCUCCGAUUGAUAUUACCCUUCGAAGAAGUCACGGCUAACUACGUGCCAGCAGCCGCGGUAAUACGUAGGUGGCAAGCGUUAUCCGGAAUGAUUGGGCGUAAAGGGUGCGUAGGCGGCCUGCUAAGUCUGGAGUGAAAGGUACCGGCUCAACCGGUACAGGCUCUGGAAACUG
rnacentral:rRNA from 1 species